GACGAACGCUGGCGGCGUGCUUAACACAUGCAAGUCGAACGAGAAUCACUGGAAGGAGUUUUCGGACAACGGAAGGUGAGGACAGUGGCGGACGGGUGAGUAACGCGUGAGGAACCUGCCUUUCAGAGGGGGACAACAGUUGGAAACGACUGCUAAUACCGCAUGACACAUAGAGAUCGCAUGGUUUUUAUGUCAAAGAUUUAUCGCUGAAAGAUGGCCUCGCGUCUGAUUAGCUAGUUGGUGAGGUAACGGCCCACCAAGGCGACGAUCAGUAGCCGGACUGAGAGGUUGACCGGCCACAUUGGGACUGAGAUACGGCCCAGACUCCUACGGGAGGCAGCAGUGGGGAAUAUUGGGCAAUGGGCGCAAGCCUGACCCAGCAACGCCGCGUGAAGGAAGAAGGCUUUCGGGUUGUAAACUUCUUUUGUCGGGGACGAGUAGAAGACGGUACCUGGCGAAUAAGCCACGGCUAACUACGUGCCAGCAGCCGCGGUAAUACGUAGGUGGCAAGCGUUGUCCGGAUUUACUGGGUGUAAAGGGCGUGUAGCCGGGAAGGCAAGUCAGAUGUGAAAUCCACGGGCUUAACUCGUGAACUGCAUUUGAAACUACUUUUCUUGAGUAUCGGAGAGGCAAUCGGAAUUCCUAGUGUAGCGGUGAAAUGCGUAGAUAUUAGGAGGAACACCAGUGGCGAAGGCGGAUUGCUGGACGACAACUGACGGUGAGGCGCGAAAGCGUGGGGAGCAAAC
rnacentral:rRNA from 1 species